UGGGGAAUAUUGGACAAUGGGCGCAAGCCUGAUCCAGCCAUGCCGCGUGAGUGAUGAAGGCCCUAGGGUUGUAAAGCUCUUUCACCGGUGAAGAUAAUGACGGUAACCGGAGAAGAAGCCCCGGCUAACUUCGUGCCAGCAGCCGCGGUAAUACGAAGGGGGCUAGCGUUGUUCGGAUUUACUGGGCGUAAAGCGCACGUAGGCGGACUUUUAAGUCAGGGGUGAAAUCCCGGGGCUCAACCCCGGAACUGCCUUUGAUACUGGAAGUCUUGAGUAUGGUAGAGGUGAGUGGAAUUCCGAGUGUAGAGGUGAACUUCGUAGAUAUUCGGAGGAACACCAGUGGCGAAGGCGGCUCACUGGACCAUUACUGACGCUGAGGUGCGAAAGCGUGGGGAGCAAACAGG
rnacentral:rRNA from 1 species